rnacentral:rRNA from 1 species
AUGAACGCUGGCGGCGUGCCUAAUACAUGCAAGUCGAGCGAACAGACGAGGAGCUUGCUCCUCUGACGUUAGCGGCGGACGGGUGAGUACACGUGGAUAACCUACCUAUAAGACUGGGAUAACUUCGGGAAACCGGAGCUAAUACCGGAUAAUAUAUUGAACCGCAUGGUUCAAUAGUGAAAGACGGUUUUGCUGUCACUUAUAGAUGGAUCCGCGCCGCAUUAGCUAGUUGGUAAGGUAACGGCUUACCAAGGCAACGAUGCGUAGCCGACCUGAGAGGGUGAUCGGCCACACUGGAACUGAGACACGGUCCAGACUCCUACGGGAGGCAGCAGUAGGGAAUCUUCCGCAAUGGGCGAAAGCCUGACGGAGCAACGCCGCGUGAGUGAUGAAGGUCUUCGGAUCGUAAAACUCUGUUAUUAGGGAAGAACAAAUGUGUAAGUAACUAUGCACGUCUUGACGGUACCUAAUCAGAAAGCCACGGCUAACUACGUG